rnacentral:rRNA from 1 species
UUAAGCGAACAAGCGUACACGGUGGAUGCCCUGGCAGUCAGAGGCGAUGAAGGACGUGCUAAUCUGCGAAAAGCGCCGGUAAGGUGAUAUGAACCGUUAUAACCGGCGAUGUCCGAAUGGGGAAACCCGGUGCACUUCGGUGCAUCAUCGUUAGCUGAAUACAUAGGCUAACGAGGCGAACCGGGGAACUGAAACAUCUAAGUACCCCGAGGAAAAGAAAUCAACCGAGAUUCCCCCAGUAGCGGCGAGCGAACGGGGAACAGCCCAGAGCCUGAAUCAGCUUGUGUGUCAGUGGAACGGUCUGGAAAGGCCGGCGAUACAGGGUGACAGCCCCGUACACGAAGGCACACAGGCUGUGAGCUCGAUGAGUAGGGCGGGACACGUGAUAUCCUGUCUGAAGAUGGGGGGACCAUCCUCCAAGGCUAAAUACUCCUGACUGACCGAUAGUGAACCAGUACCGUGAGGGAAAGGCGAAAAGAACCCCGGCGAGGGGAGUGAAACAGAACCUGAAACCGUGUACGUACAAGCAGUGGGAGCCUUCGUAAGAGGGUGACUGCGUACCUUUUGUAUAAUGGGUCAGCGACUUAUAUUCUGUAGCAAGGUUAACCGUAUAGGGGAGCCGAAGGGAAACCGAGUCUUAACCGGCGUUAAGUUGCAGGGUAUAGACCCGAAACCCGGUGAUCUAGCCAUGGGCAGGUUGAAGGUUGGGUAACACUAACUGGAGGACCGAACCGACUAAUGUUGAAAAAUUAGCGGAUGACCUGUGGCUGGGGGUGAAAGGCCAAUCAAACCGGGAGAUAGCUGGUUCUCCCCGAAAGCUAUUUAGGUAGCGCCUCGUGAACUCAUCUCCGGGGGUAGAGCACUGUUUCGGCUAGGGGGCCAUCCCGGCUUACCAACCCGAUGCAAACUGCGAAUACCGGAGAAUGUUAUCACGGGAGACACACGGCGGGUGCUAACGUCCGUCGUGAAGAGGGAAACAACCCAGACCGCCAGCUAAGGUCCCAAAGUCAUGGUUAAGUGGGAAACGAUGUGGGAAGGCCCAGACAGCCAGGAUGUUGGCUUAGAAGCAGCCAUCAUUUAAAGAAAGCGUAAUAGCUCACUGGUCGAGUCGGCCUGCGCGGAAGAUGUAACGGGGCUAAACCAUGCACCGAAGCUGCGGCAGCGACGCUUAUGCGUUGUUGGGUAGGGGAGCGUUCUGUAAGCCUGCGAAGGUGUGCUGUGAGGCAUGCUGGAGGUAUCAGAAGUGCGAAUGCUGACAUAAGUAACGAUAAAGCGGGUGAAAAGCCGCUCGCCGGAAGACCAAGGGUUCCUGUCCAACGUUAAUCGGGGCAGGGUGAGUCGACCCCUAAAGGCGAGGCCGAAAGGCGUAGUCGAUGGGAAACAGGUUAAUAUUCCUGUACUUGGUGUUACUGCGAAGGGGGGGACGGAGAAGGCUAUGUCGGCCGGGCGACGGUUGUCCCGGUUUAAGCGUGUAGGCUGACUUUCCAGGCAAAUCCGGAAAGUUAAGGCUGAGGCGUGAUGACGAGGCACCACGGUGCUGAAGUGACAAAUGCCCUGCUUCCAGGAAAAGCCUCUAAGCAUCAGGUAACAUCAAAUCGUACCCCAAACCGACACAGGUGGUCAGGUAGAGAAUACCAAGGCGCUUGAGAGAACUCGGGUGAAGGAACUAGGCAAAAUGGUGCCGUAACUUCGGGAGAAGGCACGCUGACAUGUAGGUGAAGCCCCUGCGGGUGGAGCUGAAGUCAGUCGAAGAUACCAGCUGGCUGCAACUGUUUAUUAAAAACACAGCACUGUGCAAACACGAAAGUGGACGUAUACGGUGUGACGCCUGCCCGGUGCCGGAAGGUUAAUUGAUGGGGUUAUCGCAAGAGAAGCUCCUGAUCGAAGCCCCGGUAAACGGCGGCCGUAACUAUAACGGUCCUAAGGUAGCGAAAUUCCUUGUCGGGUAAGUUCCGACCUGCACGAAUGGCGUAAUGAUGGCCAGGCUGUCUCCACCCGAGACUCAGUGAAAUUGAACUCGCUGUGAAGAUGCAGUGUACCCGCGGCAAGACGGAAAGACCCCGUGAACCUUUACUACAGCUUGACACUGAACAUUGAGCCUUGAUGUGUAGGAUAGGUGGGAGGCUUUGAAGCGUGGACGCCAGUCUGCGUGGAGCCGACCUUGAAAUACCACCCUUUAAUGUUUGAUGUUCUAACCUGGCGCCAUAAUCUGGCGUGGGGACAGUGUCUGGUGGGUAGUUUGACUGGGGCGGUCUCCUCCCAAAGUGUAACGGAGGAGCACGAAGGUCAGCUAAUCCUGGUCGGACAUCAGGAGGUUAGUGCAAUGGCAUAAGCUGGCUUGACUGCGAGAGUGACGGCUCGAGCAGGUGCGAAAGCAGGUCAUAGUGAUCCGGUGGUUCUGUAUGGAAGGGCCAUCGCUCAACGGAUAAAAGGUACUCCGGGGAUAACAGGCUGAUACCGCCCAAGAGUUCAUAUCGACGGCGGUGUUUGGCACCUCGAUGUCGGCUCAUCACAUCCUGGGGCUGAAGUAGGUCCCAAGGGUAUGGCUGUUCGCCAUUUAAAGUGGUACGCGAGCUGGGUUUAGAACGUCGUGAGACAGUUCGGUCCCUAUCUGCCGUGGGCGCUGGAGAAUUGAGGGGGGCUGCUCCCAGUACGAGAGGACCGGAGUGGACGCAUCACUGGUGUUCGGGUUGUCAUGCCAAUGGCACUGCCCGGUAGCUAAAUGCGGAAGAGAUAAGUGCUGAAAGCAUCUAAGCACGAAACUUGCCCCGAGAUGAGUUCUCCCUGAGACUAUAAGUCUCCUGAAGGAACGUUGAAGACGACGACGUUGAUAGGCCGGGUGUGUAAGCGCAGCGAUGCGUUGAGCUAACCGGUACUAAUGAACCGUGAGGCUUAACCUU